GCAGUCGCAUGCUUUUUCUUUCACCGGAGCUUGCUCCACCGAAGGAAAAGGAGUGGCGAAUGGGUGAGUAACACGUGGGUAACCUGCCCAUCAGAAGGGGAUAACACUUGGAAACAGGUGCUAAUACCGUAUAACAAUAGAAACCGCAUGGUUUCUAUUUGAAAGGCGCUUUUGCGUCGCUGAUGGAUGGACCCCCGCUGCAUUAGCUAUUUGGUGAGGUAACGGCUCACCAAGGCAACGAUGCACAGCCCACCUGAGAGGGUGAUCGGCCACAUUGGGACUGAGACACGGCCCAAACUCCUACGGGAGGCAGCAGUAGGGAAUCUUCGGCAAUGGACGAAAGUCUGACCGAGCAACGCCCCGCGAGUGAAGAAGGUUUUCGGAUCGUAAAACUCUGUUGUUAGAGAAGAACAAGGAUGAGAGUAAAAUGUUCAUCCCUUGACGGUAUCUAACCCGAAAGCCACGGCUAACUACCUGCCAGCA
rnacentral:rRNA from 1 species